rnacentral:rRNA from 1 species
UACGUAGGGUGCAAGCGUUAAUCGGAAUUACUGGGCGUAAAGCGUGCGCAGGCGGUGAUGUAAGACAGGUGUGAAAUCCCCGGGCUUAACCUGGGAACUGCAUUUGUGACUGCAUCGCUGGAGUGCGGCAGAGGGGGAUGGAAUUCCGCGUGUAGCAGUGAAAUGCGUAGAUAUGCGGAGGAACACCGAUGGCGAAGGCAAUCCCCUGGGGCUGCACUGACGCUCAUGCACGAAAGCGUGGGGAGCAAACAGG